AUUGAACGCUGGCGGCAGGCCUAACACAUGCAAGUCGAGCGGAUGAAGGGAGCUUGCUCCUGGAUUCAGCGGCGGACGGGUGAGUAAUGCCUAGGAAUCUGCCUGGUAGUGGGGAUAACGUCCGGAAACGGGCGCUAAUACCGCAUACGUCCUGAGGGAGAAAGUGGGGGAUCUUCGGACCUCACGCUAUCAGAUGAGCCUAGGUCGGAUUAGCUAGUUGGUGGGGUAAAGGCCUACCAAGGCGACGAUCCGUAACUGGUCUGAGAGGAUGAUCAGUCACACUGGAACUGAGACACGGUCCAGACUCCUACGGGAGGCAGCAGUGGGGAAUAUUGGACAAUGGGCGAAAGCCUGAUCCAGCCAUGCCGCGUGUGUGAAGAAGGUCUUCGGAUUGUAAAGCACUUUAAGUUGGGAGGAGGGGCAGUAAGUUAAUACCUUGCUGUUUUGACGUUACCAACAGAAUAAGCACCGGCUAACUUCGUG
rnacentral:rRNA from 1 species